CACAGUCAGCAUGAAAAAUAAUGUUUUCCUUUUUAAUCAGAUGUAACUUACUUUAAAGGUUUUCUUUAUCUCUAUAAAUUGAACUUUAAUUAUAUACAGGAGGCUCCUGAAGGGGCUAGAAGGCUAUAAACAGUGCAGGAGAUAAGAAAUUCUGGAAGGCUGUGUAAGUCAUGUGCAGGGAGGUAUGGCUAAGGCUGCAUAAACAAAG